ACUGCUUUGAAACCUCCUUUUACAUAGACAAACUAGCUGCCCUUAAAAAAAUAUUAAAGAAGAUGCUGAUGGAGUUGUGGAGACAGUGGUACCUCAUCACUCUUAAUGGGAGUUAGACUGGUACAGCCACCAUGGAAAUAGAUGUGGAGAUUAAAAAAAAAAAAAAAACAGAAACAACAACAAUAAAAACACCUGGAAUUAGUACAGAUUACUCAUCAUACAGCCUGAAGUAUAGGUAAUACGUUUUAUUAAAAAACACUUAAAUUUCAUUAAUUGUUUUUCACAGGCUAUUGAGAUUACGCCUUCUUUUUACUAUGUUUUAAAUUUUUCCUAGUAUUCAGUAAUCCCUGAUAUUUUCAUUUUAACAUUGUUAACUUCUGUCUCUCAAUAACUUCCAUGGACCUGUCCUGUAUCUGUUGUGGUGGUUUGCAUGAGAAUACUCCACCCCUGUACCCCUCCUCCCGUAGGCUCAUGCAUUUGAGUUCUUAGUCACCAAAGCAAGGCACUAUUUGAACAGAUUAAGAGGUGUGGCCUUCUUGGAGGAAGUGUGUCACCGUGGGUGAGCUGUGAAAUUUCAAAACCCCAUGCCUGGUCCAGUGUCUUUAGCUACCUGUGGAUCAGGAUAUAGCUCUCAGCUACUGCUCCAGUGCCAUAAUUGCCACCUUGUCCUGUCAUGAUGAUAAUGGACUAAACCUGUGAAACUGUAAUCAAGCACCCAAUUGCAUGCUUUUCUUUAUAAGAGUUGCCUUGGUCAUGGUGUUUCAUCCAAGCAAUAGAACAAUGACUGAGACAGCUGCCUUAUUUAUUUAAAGCUGGUUUUAGAUCACUCAGUGUGUCUGUACAAUGUGUGUCUGAGCACGGAGCAGAUGUGUAGACAGCAGGUAUUUACCCAGCACAGCAGGAGAUGCUUACAUCCUAAAGGGUCUAGAAGACUUCUCCCUUCUUGGGUUUGCAAUAAGUAGUAAUUAUUUAUUUCUUAAAGAUUCGCUGAAAAAGAAUCCAUUAAAAUACUUUUGCAGUUUCUUUUUGGGUGUUAGCCCUUAGAUAAAUUUCUCAACCUUUAUUAAGCGACUAAUCUAUUUUACUUUUUUCUUUAUAGUUAAGUUUUGCUAAAUUACGUAUAGUGAUUUGCUUGAUUGCCUGAAUAACCUUUUGCAUGUCUUUAAAUUUGAAUAUUAUUUCAAGAAUUUGUCUCAUGAAGACUGCAUUGUUUACUUUUCAAUUGCUGUGAAAAAAAAUACCAUCACCAAAGCAACCUAUGAAAGAAAGCACUUAACUGGGCUUAUGGUUUUGGAGGGGUCAUAGUCCAUGAUCGUAGAGCAAAGGUUCAGUGGCAAGAACAGCUGAGAAAUCAUAUCUGGAUCUCCAAAUGCAUCUUUCCUAUUCUCAGUACGCACAUAUUUUUAAAGAUUUAUUUUUAUGUUUAGUUAUGUGUAGGCAUGUGCAUCUGCAUGUGUGAAUGUGCACAUGAGUGCAUGUGCCCAUGAAGGAGGCCACAAGUAUCAGAUCAUUUGGAACUGGAAGCAGAAAGACAGACACCUUGGGAACGGCAUGAGCCUUUUGAAACUUCAAAACCCAAGCCCAGUGACACACUCCUCCAACGAGGCCAUACAAGUACUUUCCCAAACAAGAACCCUCACUGAGACCAAGUCUUCAAACAUGAAGCCUAUCAGAAGCAUACUCUUGAAAACUGCCACAAGGACAAUGCAGAUUUGUAUGGUACUCUUUAAUUAUAUUCUUAACCUGUCUUUUCCCCUAAUUUUCCUCUAGGAAAAAAAAUUAUAUAUUCUUAAGAUCUGCUUUGCAUUUAUUUUCUAUUAAUCAUUUUCUCUUUCCCUCCCAACUGCCUUAUUUCCUAUUUUGUUUUAUUUUCCAUUCUCAUUUAUUCUUCUAUUUUCUUAAUAAGUAAUUUUUUGUUCCUUUUAUUUUUUUACAUUUCUUGACUGUUUUAUUUUAACAAUUAUGUACUGAAUUUGGGACAAUCCCAUCCCUUCUUCUUGCAUCUUCACCACUCCUGCUUUGAUGUUCUGUGGCUGGGUUUUGAUAAGCAGGGUCUCAGCCUAGGGCAGGGAUUUGGUAGAAUGGAAGGUGGAGAAGCAAACCUGAAGGAGGGGGCAGGAUAAUUUACUCAAUCUUCUUGAUUGCUAACAAUGAACCUGUUAAAGUAUCUAAUACCCAAGCGAUUGCUUUAUACUGAGUACCACCUAUGCCUCUUUAUGAGUGUAUCUAUACCCUUUCCUCAACUAUGGAUAACUCCAUUUUCUGUUCCAUAGGUUGCUGCAUUUGGUAUCUUGGAUCGUGGAAGAAUUGCUCCUUUCUCUAAUGCCAGGCUGACUGUAAAUACCCCCCACCCCCAUCCUUCCCACUUCUCACCUGCUAUAGUUUGAAAUGUCCAGCACAGAUCGUGUUUUUAAUGCUUGGUCACCAGCUGUUGUGCUGUAUUUCCAGUGUUUAGGGGGUGGUAUCUGGAUGGCACAGUAGGUCACUGGGGUGGUGGGGAUGGGCAUUUGAGGGUGGUACCUAGCCCUGGUUCUAGUUUAGCCCUCUCUGCUUCUGUUCUAGAAGCAUGUGAAUACUCACCGUAUUUCAAAGCUGUUUCAGCCACCAUGCUUUCCCUAGCCUAACAAUGGACAGAAAUAUCCAUGAAACCAUGAGCCAAAAUACAUUUUUCUUCUUCUAAGAUGUUUGUCCAAAUUAAGAAGUAUACCUACCCUUUCCAGAUCUCAGUUUGUACACUAUUUUUUUUUGAUUUAUGAUUAUUUUUACUUAUUGGAAUGUAUGUGUGUCUGCAUGUGCAAAUGUACAUGUGAGCACAUGUGCCCACAGAGGCCAAAGGUGCCAGGUCCAUUGGAGCUGGAGUUAUAAUGAGUUGUGCAUUAUUUGAUAUGGGUGCUGAGAACCAAACUUGGGUGUUGUGGAAGAGCUGCAAAUGCGGUUAACCACUGAGCCAUCAAUCUAGCAGAUACCCAAAUUUAUGCUCUGUAAAUGACACUUAUUCCCUACUUUUACUAAACAGGAAUCUGGUAUGGCCUUAUUUCUUCUUUCUGCCAUAGGUUUAAAAUGCUUUAUAAAAGGAGAAUGAAGUUUACAGUCCUACUUAAGCAAGAUGGCCACUUGAAUAUUCUUUAAUUUUUUUUUUUUAAUUUCAGUUUUAAAUUAAUACAACCUCAUGAUCAUAAAUCUUAAAUAAACAAGAUUUUAUAUAAAAUCAGUUGCAGAAAAUCUCCAGAGCGUUGCUCCCUUCCUAUCCUACCUUUAGUGGAAAUGUGUGAAAGGGUAUUAGGAAGAGAUACUUGUCUAAAUAAAGACAAUGGCCUUGUUCAGUUAAAACAUCUUACCCAUUCUCUCUGGAGAACAGAGGGACUGGAAAAAAUGUAAUUUUAGUUCAAAGCGAUAAUGUUAAAAAUUAUAAAAAGUAGUUACAAAAAUAGACUUGAGUUAUUUAAAAGUUGGCCCUUUCUCCUUGCCUUUGUUUCUCUCGGACCUUCAUAUGUGAUCAGGUUUGCUUCUCAUCCCAGACAAAACCUCCUGCUUGUUUUGGAGGAUUGAUCUGCUCAGCAAACCACCUGAGAUAUAAAACUAAAUUAUUUUGAUAAAAAUUAGGAAAGAAUUAUAUAUUGUAAAACAGAACUAAAAUUUGAUGUAUAAGUCUCCAAAUAAAUUAUCCAUGUUUUCUGAGAUAGAUUGUCACUCUUUUGGCCAGGCUGGCCUCAAACGCAUGUGCUACGUACACCUCAGCCCACUCCUUUGUUGAAUUUCCUUUGGGCAUGUGUACUUCUGCUGUUUCUCAGAUCCUCAUGUUACCAUGUUCAAACACUAGUUGUAUCAGACACUUAGAAUGAAUGGUGGUAAUUUUAACUUACUAUGAAUAUAUUAUUAUUAUUUUAUAUGUUUGAGGACUAUAAAGAUGGCUUAAAACCUCCAAAGUUUGUUGACUGUUGUUUUGGUUCAUGAAUACCCUUAACCUAGGUAGCAAAAGUAUUCUGACAGAAAAAGAAGUAAUGUAAUUUAGCUCUCAUUUGUUUGAUGCUUCUAAUUGAUGCAGUGUUUUUUUGUCUUUCUUCUAUUGCUCCCAAGUUUAGUGCGAUGUGAAUGGAAAAUCAGUAGCAUAGAAUUUUCCCUGUUGAUUUUUGUCCGAGGCUCUAAACACUUGAAACCAUUUUCUUGCACUAUAUGAUAAACACUGAGGAGGAAAUGCGGGCUAGCAGCGACAGCUGUGUUUAUUCACUCUGGUGGCCUAUGUCUAGCCUGGAUAAAGGACCUGUUUAAUUAUAACUGACCUUAUGCAGCCAUUAGCUAUUUUUUGUUGUCACAGAUUUGAAGAGGAGUAGCUCACACAGUGGAAGAUCAGAAGGCAUCUUGAGAAACAGCUUUGUAGCUCAUAUACGGAAUGCUUGAAUUUAUGGUCUCUUUUAUAUUACAGUUUACCAAAGUAACUCUUAACAGCUAACUUUUGGGAUUGCUUAUGUUAAGUAUGAUAUAUGGAGGAUGGACUGAUAGCUCAGUGGUUAAGAGCAUUUGUUCUUAUAGACCACAUGGGUUCACUUCCUAGCACUCACAUGGUGGCUCAAAACUAUCUGUAGCUCAGGUUCCAGGAGAUCCAAUCCCAACUUCUGACCUCUGUGGGCAUCAAGCACACACAUUAUAGAUAUAUACAUCCAGGCCAAACACUCACACAUGUUAACUAAAUAAAUCUAAAAAUAAAGAAAGG
rnacentral:lncRNA from 1 species